UACAGAGGGGGCAAGCGUUGUUCGGAAUUACUGGGCGUAAAGGGCGCGUAGGCGGCCUGUUAAGUCGGACGUGAAAUCCCUCGGCUCAAACCGGGGAACUGCGUGUGAUACUGGAGUGGGCUUGAAUCCGGGAGAGGGAUGGCGGAAUUCCAGGUGUAGCGGUGAAAUGCGUAGAUAUCUGGAGGAACACCGGUGGCGAAGGCGGCAAGUCC
rnacentral:rRNA from 1 species